rnacentral:rRNA from 1 species
AGAGUUUGAUCCUGGCUCAGAACGAACGCUGGCGGCAGCCUAACACAUGCAAGUCGAGCGCCCAGCAAUGGGAGCGGCGGACGGGUGAGUAACGCGUGGGAAUUUUUCCUGAAGUACGGAACAACCCAGGGAAACUUGGGCUAAUACCGUAUGAUGCCGAGAGGCCAAAGAUUUAUCGCUUUGGGGUAAGCCCGCGUCAG